GCCUGUUCAGGGAUCUACAUGGAUCCACUUUGGGCAUCAGUCAGCCUCCACCAGACACUGACCAGAGUAACGGUUCCAGCAGGCAGCCCUAAGCAUGCCACUCCUUCCCUGGUCCUGAGGCCCUGCUGAGCCCUCCAGCCAGCCCCACAUCUCUCUCCUGGGCCCUCCUCACUCUGCUCCCUCUUCACAGCUGUGCUUGUCUGGAUGCCACACACUGUCACCUGCCUUCCUGCUUUUGUCCACACAUUGUCUCCUGCUUGGUAGGCCCUUGCUGUCCUGUCCAGCUGGCAGAACACACCCAUCCUUCACAUGGCUGCACAAGCUAUGGUUCUUUUGUGAUGCUCUCCUGGACACUUGCAAGUCUAACUUUGAGCCCAGCAGUUUCCAGGGCUUACAGUUGCCUGCUGCUCUCAAUACCUCUGCCCCCUGCAUCUCACUUGUUUUUCUCCAUCACUGGAUGUCAGGGACCCGAAUUUACGCACUUUAUAUCCACAUCCUUGGCAUAAGGCAUGCUGCCUAGUCAACACUCAAAAACAAAACAAAGCAAAAGAAAAAGCAAAAACAAAAACAAAAAACAACAACCUAAAAAUUAUCAACCAAGAAAGUUAGGAGAAACUAAAAAGGAACAAAGGCCUUUAUUUGGGAUCCCAGAAUUACUGUUUGAGGAGCACAGUUUCUAGGAUAACCAGGAAAGUGUCUGGUUCACAUAGGGCAUUUUAUGAGAGAGAAGGAAGGAGUCAUUAUAUGAUUCAGAUAAAGAAAUGGAAAAACAACAACAAAAAAACCCCUGUGAAUUUGGUGUUGAGCGGCUGAGCCACUUCUGAUUAAUCUUAUUGAUUAUUUUACCAGUGCUAUCAAAUGAAACUGUCCCUGGUAUGCAUUAAUUAACUUUACUGUCCCCUUAUGGUUCGAUUGCCAGUUGCCCUGUUGAAAUUUUAUGAGCAACUGCCUUGCAAGACAAUUGCUACUUCUGGCCCAUUUCGAGAGUUCAUCAGUUGGGAAAGAAAACGGAGCUUCAAAUGCAGUCUCUUAUGUUCAGACAUUUCCUACAAUUCCACAGAAUGAAUGCAUGCCCCUUCCAUGCUGUCCCUCUGUGUCCCUGGGCCGCAGGUAACUACUCAAGGAUGCCAAGAGUUGCUAAAUCUUUAGUCCAGUUCCUCACUUUAGAUAUAAGGAAACCAAGACCCAGAGGGAGGAAGUGACUUGCCCAAGGUCACACUGCUGGUGACAGAGUUCAGACUAGAGCCCAAGGUCACACAGUCGGUGACAAGAGUUUACACUGGAGUCCAAGGUCACACAGUCGGUGACAGAGUUCACACUGGAAUUCAGAUAUCCUGUCUCCCUAUCUGGUGCCCCUUUCCCUUUACCAUGCUUCUUGGAGUGGCUUCUCCCUUGGGGACACGGCAAUUUUAUGCUUAGUCAUCGGACCUUGUGGAUGGCAUAGGUUGUCCUCAAGGGGACAGAGGGGCCCUCUGAGGAAGACCUCCUGCCAAUGAUGGAGGAGGAAGGAAGUAUGAAGUCAUAAGAAUUGCCACAAUCCCUGGUUUCCACAAGUGAAACCUGGGGAGGCUGAGCCCUGCCCUAGAGCAGUGUUUUGAGGGUAGGCAAUGGGCAUGUGGGAGGUGCAGGCAAGACCUUUCCUAACCUACUGCAUGACCUUUCCAGGCUCAUCUUCCCUGCACCAGCCCUGACAGCUCAUGCUCCAGCCACAUCUGGCGCCUCACCUGUCCUGGCCAUUCCCAUCCCCUUUACUCAGAGCACCUUUGCAUUCAGGCUAUUUCCUCAGCCUGAGCUAGCUUUUCCUCUCAAUCCAACAAUUGCAAGCCCAGCCCACCUUUUGGGUCCACCUCAAAGACCACUUGCUCUAAGUCCUUCCUGAUUCCCCUCCUUUCUGUGUCUCACACAGUUUGCGCACUCUCGUUAGGCAUGGCUUGGUAAUUUCUAUCUGGAUACAUGUCCCUCUUCUCUUUACCCUGUGGGCUUGAGGACAGAGAUCCUACUUGUUGAUAUUGUGUCUCCCAUAUCACUCAGUAAGCCUCAGGGGGAUAGCAGGCGCUUCAUCUUCAUCAGGUCCGGGUCCGUGGUAAACAAGAAGUGAGGUUUCCUGGGACAGCCUCCAGGUCAAAGGUCCAGAUGAAAGGGGAACACUGCUGUUGCUUCCAAAAGCAGCAAUCAUCUGUUUUGCAGAGCUCACACCCGGUCAGUUGCCCCCUCUCCUCGAUUCUCAUCUGACUAUUUUGGCCUCUCUCCUUGGCACACUUCCACCGUCCCCAGGCUGGGGCCCACCCUCUGCCUCUCUAGCAGCUGACCUGGCCUCUCCAGAUGUUUGUUUUGCCUGCAGGAUUGAGGAGUCUGAACAUUGCUUUUGCAACACAAGCCCCAGGUGGCUGUGUGACCUUGGCAGGCUACUUUACCCCUCUGAGCCUUGCAGUUCUUCACUGGUGAGGGUCACCUGACUCCCGGGGCUGCUGUGAAGAUCAGAUGAACGAAGGCAUGAGAUGGGCCAAGCACUGUGGUCUGAUACACAAGAGAACACGAGUGGAGGAGAAGGGGAGAGGGAGAGAGAAAGAAUCCUAAGCAAGUUCCAUGCUGUCAGCUCGAUCCCACCACCCCUGGAUCAUGACCUGAGCCGAAACCAAGAGUCAGAUGCUCAACUGACUGAGCCACCCAUGUGCCCCAACCACAAACUCUUACAUCUCCAAGAAAGGCAACUUCUGUUUCUGGAAUUUGGAUUGAAAGAAAAGCCAGGAGGACAAAAAAGCUGUUACUUUGGAGGUGACAGCUUAUUGGAGGAUAAGAGGUUGGUUGGUGGUUGGAGGAAACGUUUCUUAGGUGAAAAAUGGAUCUGAAACAUCCCUUCAUUUUUAGCAAUAACUAUAAGCAAAACAGCCUUUCCCCAUUAGUAAUCUAUUAUCCAAGGCACAGAAACCAGAUAGUGGCCAAGAAAACAACAUCUCUGAGCCCUGGACUGAGAGAGCCAGAGGGAUGAGUGAGGGACCUGCAAGUUUCCCAGUUCCCAGUUGCCCCAACACACUCGCCGUGCCCACACCUGUGGUCCAUCUCCUGUGCCCCAUGCCCAUGGCAGAGCAGCGUGGGGGCAGCAAGGCCUCUGACAGAGAGCACCAGUGGCUUUCCAGAGACCGUGCUGGGCGAGGACUGCUGCAGAGCCAGAGAGCUUGUGGCUGUUUUGUUUUGUUUUGCUUUAAUAAUUGGGGAGGGAACCAAAUGAAGAAGCAAAUAUCUGGCACAGAACAAUCCAAAGGAUCCCAGGGCCUCAACAGAGAAGAAUCCAGACCCACCCGUGGCUGCUGUUGCCAUAUUCAGGCAGCGAAGCCCAGACUUGCUGGAUGCCUCCGGGAAAGGAUGUGAUGAAAGCGGAGGAAUAAAUAUUCUUUUCCUCACUGUUGAGAUCCAAAAGCCUGUGCCUUUGGACACACAGAAAGGAGAAGCUGACUAAAGGUGGAGGGGGCACAGGAAGAGUAAGACCAACACCCCUCCCCCAGAGGUGGGGGGGAGGAGGGAGAGCAGAGGGGAAGCCCUGAAGCCGACAUCGGUGGUCCGUAGAGGGACUCUUCCCAGGAAGGACUCUGGGGCCAUGGCAAAGCACCAAGAAAACGCCAGGGCCCCAGGCAGCUUCCAAGAGUGAGGAGCAGUGAAAUGAUCACACCACAGAGAGAGACACUACACUGAGAGCACUGAGGAGGGCUGGCCCCCAGACAGACGGGAUUCUGGGUCCUCAAUAAUAAGUCCUGAGUAAACCCCCCAGAAAUUAGGGGCAACCUAUGAAAAAGGGUGAGUGCUCCCAGUUGGCCUGACAUUUCUGCUACCUAGCAUAAUAGAGGCUUGGAACAAAAUUAAAUUUGUAUAUAUAUGUA